CCCUACGGGCGGCUGCAGUGGGGAAUUUUGGACAAUGGGCGCAAGCCUGAUCCAGCAAUGCCGCGUGCAGGAAGAAGGCCUUCGGGUUGCAAACUGCUUUUGUACGGAACGAAACGGUCCUGGUUAAUACCUGGGGCUAAUGACGGUACCGUAAGAAUAAGCACCGGCUAACUACGUGCCAGCAGCCGCGGUAAUACGUAGGGUGCAAGCGUUAAUCGGAAUUACUGGGCGUAAAGCGUGCGCAGGCGGUUUUGUAAGACAGGCGUGAAAUCCCCGGGCUCAACCUGGGAAUUGCGCUUGUGACUGCAAGGCUGGAGUGCGGCAGAGGGGGAUGGAAUUCCGCGUGUAGCAGUGAAAUGCGUAGAUAUGCGGAGGAACACCGAUGGCGAAGGCAAUCCCCUGGGCCUGCACUGACGCUCAUGCACGAAAGCGUGGGGAGCAAACAGGAUUAGAUACCCCGGUAGUC
rnacentral:rRNA from 1 species